rnacentral:lncRNA from 1 species
CUGAGAAAUCGUAAUCCCAAAUAUAACAUGUUUUACAUUUUACCACUUUCUAAAUGGCAUUGUGCAUUCAUAACUAGCAAUCAGUUGUCCCAAAUCCUCUUGUGAUUCUGUGAGACAAAAUACCCAAUUCUGUAACUUGAGAGAAUCUGGGUGCAUUAUAUAUUCUCGCAUUGACAUUCCCCACAUGGUGUGAAGCCCAUUUCCGGAGUCCCCCGCCGUGAUAUUGCUGGAAUAUUGCUAAAAGCGAUAAUUGUACAUACACAUUUGCACACAUAUACGAGUUUGGAAUGGGAAAGGUUCUUGUAAGUAGAAUCAGAUCACAUUUGAGAAUUCCGAAAACCAGUAUGUCAGCCGUGGAAGCUAAUUAACGUAUCGCCACUUGUCAAUCAAACCAAUGACCUGACCAAUGAGGAACGUCAAAUUACUCAAUCCGUAUCGCGCUGAAGUCAGCUGACAGCCGACCACCAUUUUGUCCGACAUCAGUGGUCUGGUGGACUUUUCAAAAAUAAAUCGACGUUUACAGUCAACUUUUUGAUCAUGGUGAAAAGGUGUAGCUAGGGUACCUGCAACUCGGACACGCGGUACCCGGAACGACUUGCAGGUGGUAUCACCUUUAUUCCAUUCCCCAAGCCUGCCAGAAAUUUUGACAAAUGUCAACGAUGGAUACGUUUGUGUGGUCGCCCCAAAUAUCAACUGAACAUGGACAUACUUCGUGACCACAGCCGAAGAAAAUAUUUCUUCGUAUGCACAAAGCACUUUGUUGAUGGAAAACCCUCCAAGACAUUUCCGGACUCCUCAUGAACAAAAUGAAAAUCCAAAGACAGUAAGAUCACGACCCAAACCUCGCUUGCCAUUAUUGGGCGACUUAAAAAAGGAAAGUUCUUCUUGAAACACACAGAUGUAAUCACAGUACUGGUAUUUCUGAUUCACGAAAUCAGAUGGAUAUUGAACAUCCAGAGCCUACAACCAUGCAGCAUGAAUCUGAUAUUCUUGUCCAACAACGUGACACCAUGGGUCCCUUGUCACUGGAUAUGCUGGCUCUAGCUGCAGAGAACAAGCAACUCAAAGAAGAUAUGGCCAAACUGAUCCUGGAAAAGGAGAAGGUCAUGCGUGCC